rnacentral:rRNA from 1 species
UUCCCGGGCUUGUACACACCGCCCGUCACACCACGAAAGUUGGCAAUACCCGAAGCCGGUGGCCUAACCCGCAAGGGAGGGAGCCGUCGAAGGUAGGGGUCGAUGAUUGGGGUG